UACGAAGGGGGCUAGCGUUGUUCGGAAUUACUGGGCGUAAAGGGCGCGCAGGCGGCUCUUCAAGUCAGAUGUGAAAGCCCUGGGCUCAACCUGGGGACUGCGCUUGAGACGGUAUGGCUUGAGGGUGGAAGAGGCUCGCGGAAUUCCCAGUGUAGAGGUGAAAUUCGUAGAUAUUGGGAAGAACACCGGUGGCGAAGGCGGCGAGCUGGUCCAUCACUGACGCUGAGGCGCGACAGCGUGGGGAGCAAACAGG
rnacentral:rRNA from 1 species